GAUCCUGGCUCAGGACGAACGCUGGCGGCGUGCCUAAUACAUGCAAGUCGAGCGGACAGAUGGGAGCUUGCUCCCUGAAGUCAGCGGCGGACGGGUGAGUAACACGUGGGCAACCUGCCUGUAAGACUGGGAUAACUCCGGGAAACCGGGGCUAAUACCGGAUAAUUCUUUCCCUCACAUGAGGGAAAGCUGAAAGAUGGUUUCGGCUAUCACUUACAGAUGGGCCCGCGGCGCAUUAGCUAGUUGGUGAGGUAACGGCUCACCAAGGCAACGAUGCGUAGCCGACCUGAGAGGGUGAUCGGCCACACUGGGACUGAGACACGGCCCAGACUCCUACGGGAGGCAGCAGUAGGGAAUCUUCCGCAAUGGACGAAAGUCUGACGGAGCAACGCCGCGUGAGUGAUGAAGGUUUUCGGAUCGUAAAACUCUGUUGUUAGGGAAGAACAAGUACCGGAGUAACUGCCGGUACCUCUGACG
rnacentral:rRNA from 2 species